rnacentral:lncRNA from 1 species
UGGGUAUAAGAGUUGGGUGUCUGUUUGCAGAUGCACAGGAAAAGGCAGUGGGUAGUUGGGAAUCUCUUGGUUUAGUUUCAUUGUGUUUGUCUCUCGCUCGGACUGUGAAGUGUCUAACAGAAACCUGUGGGCUCCAUUCUCUGGCUCCCAAAGCUCCUCCAUCCAUGUCUGGCGCCUGUAGUGUUUCUUUUCCAGCUUUCAGAAGGAAAGGGGAAAGAAGAAAAGCGAAAAGUCAGAGAAUCUCUUGAAGGUAGAAGGUGUUUAUGUUAAACCUGCUGCCUCUGACUCAUAGUAGGUGCUCAGUAAGUGUUAGAUUCAGUCUCCAGUGGCGGAAGAAGCACGAGUCCUGACAGAUUAAGGGCCUGUAUUUGAUCUGCAGAACCCACUUUUGGAAGGAGGGGUGUGGUGGAGAGAGUUUCGCACACCUUUGAUCCCAGCACAGGAGGCAGGCAGAUCUCUGAAUUUGUGGCCAACCUGUUCUAUAGAGUGAGUUCUAGGACAGCCUAGGCUACACAAAGAUCUGAAAACCAAAAUUGGGGUGUGAGAGACACACUGGAUAAAUGGUUCAGCAGAUAAGAACACUGGCCACUCUUCCACACUGGUUUGAUUCCUGGAACCUGCAUGGCAACUCACAACCAUCUACGACUCUAGUCCCAGGGGAUCUAAUGACCUCUUCUGCCCUCCGAGGACACCAGGCACACAGGUGGCACACAGACAUACAUGUAGACAAAGCACCCAUUAACAGAAAAUAAGUAAAUAUAUUUUCAAAAAGACACCUGCUCAUAAUCCCCGCUCAAGGAAGACUUGCCUGCGACUGGAAUCCAGCCAUCCAGCCCGGCCUACUUGGUGAGUUCCAGGCCACCAUCUUAAAAAAAAACAAAAAAA